rnacentral:rRNA from 1 species
GGAGGGUGCGAGCGUUAAUCGGAAUUACUGGGCGUAAAGCGUACGCAGGCGGUUUGUUAAGCGAGAUGUGAAAGCCCCGGGCUCAACCUGGGAACUGCAUUUCGAACUGGCAAACUAGAGUGUGAUAGAGGGUGGUAGAAUUUCAGGUGUAGCGGUGAAAUGCGUAGAGAUCUGAAGGAAUACCGAUGGCGAAGGCAGCCACCUGGGUCAACACUGACGCUCAUGUACGAAAGCGUGGGGAGCAAACAGGAUUAGAUACCCUGGUAGUCCACGCCGUAAACGAUGUCUACUAGAAGCUCGGAACCUCGGUUCUGUUUUUCAAAGCUAACGCAUUAAGUAGACCGCCUGGGGAGUACGGCCGCAAGGUUAAAACUCAAAUGAAUUGACGGGGGCCCGCACAAGCGGUGGAGCAUGUGGUUUAAUUCGAUGCAACGCGAAGAACCUUACCUACACUUGACAUACAGAGAACUUACCAGAGAUGGUUUGGUGCCUUCGGGAGCUCUGAUACAGGUGCUGCAUGGCUGUCGUCAGCUCGUGUUGUGAGAUGUUGGGUUAAGUCCCGCAACGAGCGCAACCCUUAU